CAACGCCAGGGUAUUACGAGCCCAGCUUAAAACCCAAAGGACUUGACGGUAUCCCAUCCAACUAGAGGAGCCUGUUCUAUAAUCGAUAAUCCCCGAUUAACCUAACCCAAUUUUGCCACUCAGCCUGUAUACCUCCGUCGCAAGCUUACCACAUGAAUGACUACAGUAAGUUUAAUGGUCUAACACCAACACGUCAGGUCAAGGUGCAGCUCAUAAUAGGGAAAGCAAUGGGCUACAAUUUCUAACAUAGAACACACGGAAUGCUGCAUGAAACACAGCCAUGAAGGUGGAUUUAGAAGUAAAAAAG
rnacentral:rRNA from 1 species